rnacentral:rRNA from 1 species
AAGUAGUAUUUUUAUUAAAAACUAUUUUACUAUGACGGCAUUUUAAUUAAUUAGAGGAACUUGUUAAAUAAUCGACAACCCUCGAUAAAUUUUACUUUACAUAAAAAUUUAUAUACCGCCAUCAUGAACUUAUUUAUUAUAUUACUCUUAAUAAAAUCUAAAAAGACAGGUCAAGGUGUAAUAUAUAAUAAAGUCAUAAUGAGUUACUCUUAAAAUAAUUAAAAAUAAAAUAAAAAAAUUAACUUAAUAAAGAAUUUAAUAGUAUUUAUAUAUUAAUAAUAUAUAAAAAAUUAAAUAAAAAAUGUGU